GAUGAAGAACGUAGCGAAAUGCGAUACGUAAUGUGAAUUGCAGAAUUCAGUGAAUCAUCGAGUCUUUGAACGCACAUUGCGCCCCCUGGUAUUCCGGGGGGCAUGCCUGUCCGAGCGUCAUUGCUGCCCUCAAGCCCGGCUUGUGUGUUGGGUCUCGUCCCCCUUCCCGGGGGGACGGGCCCGAAAGGCAGCGGCGGCACCGCGUCCGGUCCUCGAGCGUAUGGGGCUUUGUCACCCGCUCUGUAGGCCCGGCCGGCGCUUGCCGAUCAACCAAAACUUUUUUCCAGGUUGACCUCGGUUCAGGUAGGGAUACCCGCUGAACUUAAGCAUAUCAAUAAGCGGAGGA
rnacentral:misc_RNA from 1 species